rnacentral:lncRNA from 1 species
CACACACAUAUAGAGAGAGAGAGAGAGAACUGAGCUUGAAUACUUUUAAAAGCACCAAGCCCUUGGUGCUUCUAGGUUUCUAGCCCUUGGAUCUACUCCUUGAUUACUAAUAGACUUGGGAUUAAACACUAUUCCACCUACCACCACCUACCACCUACCACCACCUACCACCAUCAUCUCAACCCCCCAUUUCUUCAUCCAAUGGCUAAAAACUCAAAAGCACCACUCUCUUGGUGCUUUUGCGAGUAUUCUAGUUC